rnacentral:rRNA from 1 species
UACGAGGGGUCCUAGCGUUGUUCGGAAUCAUUGGGCGUAAAGCGUAUGUAGGUGGCUAUGUAAGUCAGGUGUCGAAAUCCCCGGGCUCAACCUGGGAAGUGCAUUUGAAACUGCGUAGCUUGAGUAUGGAAGGAGGGUAGUAGAAUUCCUGGUGUAGUGGUGAAAUACGUAGAUAUCAGGAGGAAUUCCAGUGGCGAAGGCGGCUACCUGGUCCUAUACUGACACUGAGAUACGAAAGCGUGGGGAUCAAACAGGAUUAGAAACCCGA